CUCUGUUUCCGAAAGACGCAGGGCAAAAGGAG
rnacentral:ncRNA from 1 species